CGGCGGCUCCGAUCCGACGCCCGAGCCAGCGGAGCCCGGAGCCGCUGGGCCUCCCGUCCCCUCCGCCCGUCCGCCCUCCCCGCCCCCUCGGCUCCCUCCGCCCCGCCGCCCCGCGCCGCUUUACCAUAAAAGGGUCUUGCGUCAAACCGACCAGGGUUCUGCGGCCGUUCACUAAGCGUGAGACCCGGAGCAGUCACGCCACCUCCUGAGCCUCAGUGUCUUCAUCUGUAAAGUGGAGGUAGCCACUGCCUACCUCUCCAGGUUGGCCUGAGGAUAAAAGCACCCCAGGCCACCUGUUCCACCACCACCACUGCUCCCGGAUGGAGGGGUUCGUCCUGGUCUGCAGCAGCCCAGGUGUCGAUGUCACCGAUCGGCAGGUGCCAAACUUCCUGCAACGGAAACCCAGGAAGUGCGCUGGACGAGAACACACGCCCUUUGUCUGCCAGCUCAGAGGCUCUGCUGCCCUCCGCCCUCCCUGCCAGGCUCACAACGGCUUUCUUCUCCCUCAGAUGGCCCCAGCAGGCAAGGGGCUCAAUCUUCUAUUAGGAUGGUGGCAGCUGAGACCCUGAGUGGCAGGGAAGGGGUGGAAGAGAGGUUUGAGGGCAAGUCUGCUUGCCAGGGCGGGGGUGGCACCUCCACGGUGGAGAGCUUUGACUGAGCAGACACUGACUGGGCACCUACUGUGUGCAAUGCAUGAGUCAAGGAGCCGACGACGGGAUCAAAUCAGACAUGAUCAGUCCUUGUCCCCACAGACCUUACAGGGAGGUUGGGUAGAGCAAACCAUAAAGCAA